AUCAGUGUUAAUGUUUUCAUUAUUGGGUCUGAUCAAGUGAAAGUGUACAUCAACAUGAAAAAGUAAAUUUGCACACAACAUUUAUCAAGUGGGCUCAUGUUUUAGCUAAAGAUCUAUAUUUUAUGGAACUGUUAUCCUUUU